AUAUUGUUUGAAAAGAGAGAAAGCUACCACUUCCCUUGACAAGGAUGGAAGAGGCCCUUUGGCCUAACAACAUAAUAUAGUCAAGACAUUGCUACCAACUUCAUUACAUCUAACCACUGGUUUGU